UAGACAUUCUCUAGAGGUAGCCCUUGAAGAGGAAUGCAACACACUUACCAGAAAUGUUGGCGCUGUUCACUGGAGUCCAGGCUGCACAGUCCCUUAAUCGAGAAUCCUGCAGCUGGGAAGGCUUCAUUGGCCAGAUCCUGUUGGGCCAGGAGCUUGAUUCUAUCAGCUGCGUUUAUCGUUUAUCC
rnacentral:lncRNA from 1 species